GUCGCAUGAAGGCAACAUAAAAAAUAAGGAGAAACGGCGCCUAGCGCACACGCGACGAAGAGGGUGGUCAGACACACACCCAGAGACAAACAGCAAGGGCCCCUGCACUCCUGCGCACAAAGAUACAGAAAAGGACACCGUUCUCGUGGCUAAUCUGUUGCGUCCGAUGGCUUGUCAAACUGAAGGCACUGCCAGAAAAUGCUUCUCUCGUGGCAGAACAAAAGUCAGUUCCCAGUUUCUCCCGUCGGCAGAACCGCCGCAGGGCGCAGACGCCAUCAAAACGAAGAAACGGUUUUCUGUUCGUUCCGCGUUGUUCGGCUUUCACGGGAAUGGUGACUCUGAAGCGGCUUCCCGAGGUAGGCUGAGGACCUGUCAAGACGAGGAUGUAAAUUCGUUCAUGUAACUCAGAGCAACUUUCACGCUGCCUCUGGUGUCUGUCGUGUCGCUCAAGGAAGAUUUGAUUCUGUUUACCACAUCAGGAAUGUAAACGCGUUCACCGUAACCGUCGCGCCGUCUCGAUUCUCAUAUUCGAAGAUUGUACUUUUUAAAACAGCUUUAGAUAACAUGUGAAGAGUCGGACCAACAUGGGACUCCUACGACUCUAUAAAUUAUUUUUUUCUCGGCAGUAUAUACUACGAGUUGGACUACUGGUUUGAAUCUCGUCUCACAGUGAGUCGAGCACGCAAAUGUGGUGGCGGCAAGCAAAGAACACUUCCCUUCGGCGGCUGUGGAGGUUCAUCAACUCCACUCUCACGGGAAGGGAAGGAGGAAAAAGUGGGCAAGAAGCGACACACGGUUUCUCCGCUUAUUUGGAGGCGGCAGUUCGAAUGACGGGAAGCGAUGAUGCUGCCAGACAGCGCCUUGAAGUUGCGAAUUGAAAGAAAUUCUACGGGGAAGGUGGAACGGAGAAUGCUGGGAAGGCUCCAGUUGAGGGCAAGACACAAGUGAGGAAAACGCUUGUGGGCUGUCCCCGCUAUCCAGCGACAAGUGUUGGAUUUCCAGAUCCGCAGAAGCCUUCUUCUCAAGCUACUCAGAUCUACGCACCCAUAUAUAUGUGAAGAAAUAUAAGCAAAAUCGUCAUGGUCCGAAUACCGGCUGUGCACCAAGGUUAGGGUAGCUUGUCUGUCCGAUUCUCUAUUCUCAAUUCGGAAGCUGUUUCCCGAAGAACGGAUGGGAUCUUCGAUUGCCGAGUACUACUGGGUUCCGUGUUAGUUCAGGUUUUCUUGCACGUGGCAUGUGCGGAUAAUACUCGACUCAUCUCUAGAUCAUUCCAUGAGAGCACACAGCCCUUCCCCUUAUUCAAGGUAUACAGAGAUCUGCCUGCGUAUACAGUCAACGUAGACUGCCGAGAUUUGAAACGCAAUGUGGUUCCCUCGUUAAGAGACCACAGAAGGGUAAGGACGAUGUGCACUGUCGAGAAGAAGACCCAUGCGCUUCCGGAAGUUGACUUUCCUUGCCCUUUCCCGUUAACUCUGACGACGCGCGGCGGUCACGCGAGUUUGUGUUCUUCCCCCGGACUGCGCGUUGCUCGUGGACCUUCGUGGACGUUUAUUUUCAUUAAUGGAUUGGGCAAGAGAACCACGGAGAGGUAUAAGCGACUCUGCUGCCUACUCAACUAUGUUGCUACCUUAGUUGUACCUUGACACCAAAAUGUGUGCGCAUGCGUGUGAGCGCAUACGCAUCAAGAAAAGGAAAGAGGGCUGGUUUCUCGCUGCGAACCGACAGCCAGACGCGCACAUGCUUGCCGUAAGAGUUCUUUUUCAAUCUCUGAAACGGGGACAAAAUGCGAGAGAAAGAGACACAUGUCUGCAUCUCUGCUCCUCUACUUCGUCUUGUCAGGCAUGUUUAGCCGAUGCCGAGGAGUUUCAGAAGUUUUCAAAGUACAACAGAAACGUCUUCUGCACGAAGACGAAGCUCUGGCGUCCAUCCACACCAUUUUCACUGUGCUGAGUUCCUUCUUCUUCAUGUCCCUCGCUCUGCCUGUCCAGUUCUCUUGCGACGUCGCCACGCGCUCCGUUCUGUCCAUCUGUUUUUUCCGGUGUGCUCAGCUCGUUCCAUCCCGCACGCUGCCAACUCGGGAGACGUGAUAAAGAACAGAAUUCCUAGACCGUACGCGUGUGUGUGCCCCCCCCCCUCCGCGCCAAAGCAAUAGUUACGAAACAUCCCUGUCGAAAAACGCUUGCGAAUCUCGCAACGGCAGCAUGCGAAAAUGAACCCCAGCUGUUGACGGCUCCUGUCUCCUUGCCACCUUGUCCCCAUCAUUUGUCCACCGUUUCUGGACAAAAGGAUUCGAGGAGCUCGCUUUCACACUAGGAUGCAGACCCUUAAGACUUUUUCACAUCUUUCACUGUUGCAGUGACGACUGCCCGUCUGUCUCCCCUUUUCUCCCACGGCCGGUCUCCGUCUCGCUUUUGAGAAUUCCGUUCUUCCUCCACUUGACACGACUCGUCCUGGAGUUCCACCACUCCCUUCACCGCCUGGCGACAUGUCGGGCACCUUCCAUUCCUGCAGAAAAAGCCCGAUAAAGAACGAGUAUUCGUCAGCGGUCUUCUGCCUGCAAGUGUUUUGCAGCACGCAAUUCCACCCGAGGUGUGCUCAGCCCUCACUUGUUUGCUUCUCUCCGAAACGACUCCGUUAGCUCCUUUUCAAGACCCGCAGUAGACCCCCAGUGUGCACCCGCGCGGCUCUACAUAGAUGGAUGCGUACGCAUGUUUUCUUAUAUUUGCACACCACUGGAUGCACAUGAGCACGAGAUGGUCAUCGCACAGUGAUUUCG
rnacentral:lncRNA from 1 species